GUGGGGAAUAUUGGACAAUGGGCGAAAGCCUGAUCCAGCAAUGCCGCGUGAGUGAUGAAGGCCCUAGGGUUGUAAAGCUCUUUUACCCGGGAUGAUAAUGACAGUACCGGGAGAAUAAGCUCCGGCUAACUCCGUGCCAGCAGCCGCGGUAAUACGGAGGGAGCUAGCGUUGUUCGGAAUUACUGGGCGUAAAGCGCGCGUAGGCGGUUUUCCAAGUCAGGGGUGAAAGCCCGGGGCUCAACCCCGGAAUAGCCCUUGAAACUGGAAGACUAGGAUCUGGGAGAGGUCAGUGGAAUUCCGAGUGUAGAGGUGAAAUUCGUAGAUAUUCGGAAGAACACCAGUGGCGAAGGCGACUGACUGGACAAGUAUUGACGCUGAGGUGCGAAAGCGUGGGGAGCAAACAGGAUUAGAAACCCGGGUAGUCC
rnacentral:rRNA from 1 species